rnacentral:rRNA from 1 species
UACGGAGGGUGCAAGCGUUAAUCGGAAUUACUGGGCGUAAAGCGUGCGUAGGUGGUUCGUUAAGUCCGUUGUGAAAGCCCCGAGCUCAACUUGGGAAUUGCAGUGGAUACUGGCGAGCUGGAGUGCGGUAGAGGAGGGUGGAAUUCCCGGUGUAGCGGUGAAAUGCGUAGAGAUCGGGAGGAACACCAGUGGCGAAGGCGGCCUUCUGGACCAGCACUGACACUCAAGCACGAAAGCGUGGGGAGCAAACAGG